GACGAACGCUGGCGGCGUGCUUAACACAUGCAAGUCGAACGGAAAGGCCUGCUUUCCCUUGUGGAUUGCGGGUACUCGAGUGGCGAACGGGUGAGUAACACGUGCGUGAUCUGCCCCCAACUUUGGCAUAAGACUGGGAAACUGGGUCUAAUUCCCGACAGGACUGCAGGGUGGUGUCUGAGGGGUAAAACACUCUUCUGGAGGUUCGGAUUGCGCUCUCGUCCUAUGGGGUGGUAGGUGGGGAAAUGGCCUACCAGGCCGGGCCCGGGUGGCCGGCUGAGGAGGGGGGACGGCCACUUGGGAACGGGGAAACGGCCCAGACUCUUACGGAGGGAGGCAGUGGGGAAUAUUGGAAAAGGGGGAGAAGCCUAAUGCAGCGACGCGGCGUGGGGGAUGACGGCCUUCGGGUUGUAAGCUCCUUUCGACCGCGAGGAAGCCAGCUGGAUGGUAGGGUGGUGACGGUAGUGUUAGAAGAAGCACCGGCUAACUACGUG
rnacentral:rRNA from 1 species